UGGAAGAAUAUAAAUGUUGAAUUAUAACCGUUUUUGAGUCUUGGUGCCAUCCAAUUGAUUUAAAUAUUUUUUUAAAAAUGAGACAAUAAAAAACGGAAACUAAAAAAAUUAAUAACUAUUGCAUUAUUAACCGAAGCCGUUGAGCAAGAGGAACUAGAACAAAAAGAAGUCAAACAGCAACAACGUCGUCGAUCGAUUUGGACACGCAAGUGGAUACUUCGAAGAAGUCAAGAUUUAAGAGGUACAAUUCAUUUAGCGCACGAAGAACUGAGAUUUGAAAACAGUGAUUAUUUCCAAAGAUUCUUCAGAAUGCGAACGGAUUUAUUUGAUCGGCUUGUUGAAAUGGUGACACCAUUUAUACAACGUCAAAAUACGAACAUGAGAGAAUGUAUCUCACCAAGAGAUCGGUUAUCACUCACUCUACGAUUUGUAGCCACCGGUGAAGCUUAUAGAAGUUUAGAAUAUUCUAUGAGAAUACCAACGUGUAAAAUUUCUCGUAUCAUUCCUGAAACAAGCCGUGUAAUUUAUGAAGUUCUUCGAAAGGAUUAUUUAAAGACACCAAGUACAAUUGAAGAGUGGACAGAAAUUGCAAAUAAUUAUUUCAACUUUGGAAUGUUCCAAAUUGUAUUGGCUCUAU
rnacentral:lncRNA from 1 species